rnacentral:rRNA from 1 species
UCUUAAAGCCGUUCUCAGUUCGGACUGUAGGCUGCAACUCGCCUACACGAAGUCGGAAUCGCUAGUAAUCGCGGAUCAGCAUGCCGCGGUGAAUACGUUCCCGGGCCUUGUACACACCGCCCGUCACACCAUGGGAGUCUGCAAUGCCCGAAGCCGGUGGCCUAACCACUUAUGUCGAAGGAGCCGUCUAAGGCAGGGCAGAUGACUGGGGUGAAGUCGUAACAAGGUAGC